UACCGCAUAUGCCUACGGGUGAAAGAUUUAUCGCCUGGAGAUGAACUCGCGUCAGAUUAGCUAGUUGGUGGGGUAAGAGCCUACCAAGGCGACGAUCUGUAGCUGGUCUGAGAGGAUGAUCAGCCACACUGGGACUGAGACACGGCCCAGACUCCUACGGGAGGCAGCAGUGGGGAAUUUUCCGGGGGGGGCGCAAGCCUGACGGAGCAAGACCGCGUGCGGGAUGACGGCCUAAUGGUUGUAAACCGCUUUUCUCUGGGAAGAUGAUGACGGUACCAGAGGAAUCAGCCUCGGGUAACUCCGUGCCAGCAGCCGCGGUAAUACGGAGGAGGCAAGCGUUAUCCGGAAUUAUUGGGCGUAGAGCGUCCGUAGGUGGUUAUUCAAGUCUGCUGUCAAAGCGUGGGGCUUAACUCCAUAGAGGCAGUGGAAACUGGAUGACUUGAGUGCGGUAGGGGUCGAGGGAAUUCCCAGUGUAGCGGUGAAAUGCGUAGAUGUUGGGACGAACGCCUGUGGCGAGGGCGCUCGGCUGGGCCUGCUCUGUCGCUGAGGGACGAGGGCUAGGGGAGCGAGCGGGAUUAGAUACCCCUGUAGUCCUAGCCGUAAACGAUGGAUACUAGGUGUUGCUCGUCAUCGACCCGAGCAGUGCCGUAGCCAAUGCGUUAAGUAUCCCGCCUGGGGAGUACGCUCGCAAGACGUGAAACUCAAAGGAAUUGACGGGGGCCCGCACAAGCGGUGGAGUAUGUGGUUUAAUUCGAUGCAACGCGAAGAACCUUACCAGGGCUUGACAUGUCCGGAACCUUGCCGAAAGGUGAGGGUGCCUACGGGAACCGGAGCACAGGUGGUGCAUGGCCGUCGUCAGCUCGUGUCCUGAGAUGUUGGGUUAAGUCCCGCAACGAGCGCAACCCACGUUCUUAGUUGCCAGCAUUCAGUUGGGCACUCUAGGGAGACUGCCGGUGACAAACCGCCGCAAGGUGUGGAUGACGUCAAGUCAGCAUGCCCCUUACGUCCUGGGCUACACACGUACUACAAUGCUGUGGACAAAGGGCAGCCAGCCGGCGACGGUGAGCUAAUCCCAUAAACCACGGCACAGUUCAGAUUGCAGGCUGCAACUCGCCUGCAUGAAGGAGGAAUCGCUAGUAAUCGCAGGUCAGCA
rnacentral:rRNA from 1 species